rnacentral:rRNA from 1 species
UACGUAGGGUGCAAGCGUUAAUCGGAAUUACUGGGCGUAAAGCGUGCGUAGGCGGUUCGCUGUGUCCGAUGUGAAAGCCCCGGGCUUAACCUGGGAAUGGCAUUGGAAACUGGCGGGCUUGAGUGCGGCAGAGGGGGGUGGAAUUCCACGUGUAGCAGUGAAAUGCGUAGAGAUGUGGAGGAACACCGAUGGCGAAGGCAGCCCCCUGGGUCAAGAUUGACGCUCAUGCACGAAAGCGUGGGGAGCAAACAGG